UAGACGCUUGGUAAUUUUGAUUCGAUUAUAAUUGCUCGGUAUUCGUAAUACCGGGCUGUGAUUUUAUGGCGAAGACGACCUUGUCGCCGUGAGAGCCCAGAGCCUGUUGCACUUCGAUGGCAUACUAUACGUAUCGGUGCAACUAAUCUAACUGGCACGUGCAAUACUGCUGAGAACGAUUCCGUAGCUACUCAAACCGGAUUUCUGUUCACUACAUUCGAGCAGAAUUGAUAAAAGUUUUUACUACCUACAAUAAAGUCUCCUCGUCCGGCUGGUCACCAACCACACGUAUAAAGUGAAGAAUUUCGAGCACUAUUUUUCGUGGGAGUAUCGAAGGAGCAUUGUAUCGACCUCUCAUCGUACUACAUCUUCUACAUUCAACCUACUACACAGCUAUAGUCAUCAGGGAGGCAGAGACAUCCGGGUAAAAUCCAAGACCCCUGAGCUUGGGAACCAGCUCGGGUCCGGUUUUGGUACCGGCAGCGGUGGGGUAAGUCCCAGCAGUCAGAUUUCCUCGAUUUCUUUGCCAGCUCACACGAUGGUGAACGCUGGCAUCGGGAUCGUUGUAUUUUAUAGAAUAAGUAUGUUCCCCCAAUUCGCGUGGCGUGGCGGUACUUUUAGAUUUUAAAAUCAUUUUAUUAGCUCAGGUAAUCGUAGGUUCGGUUGUCGUUGAGCAUAGCGCACUUGCAGUUUGUAGAGUCACAGAUAUAGAAUUUUUUUGGAAAAUUAUUCAGUUAGUUGAUCUAUUGGUUAUUCAGUUGACAAAUAGUUCAUACACUAUGAACUAUUCAAAUAAAUCAUCAUCCACCAACCUUAUGUAAGCAAGAGUGCGCGGCUCAUAGGCAACGGUAAAGACCAUCGUUUGAUUGACCAACGCGUUUUCUUGCAUUUUAUAAUAAUUUUUAGUGAUUGAUCUCGUUUUCGUCGAUCACUAACUAGUAAAAAAAAUUAGGCCGUUCGAAUGGUGGUCCUUUACCAUAGUUUCACUUUCUCGACGAGAAUCAGGUAUGAUCAGCAGCUCCGAGCGAUUAAAAAAUACGUAAUUGAUUUUUUGGAGAUAAAAAAAUUUGUCGAUUCAGUUAUUCUCAAUUCUCAUUCAUUCAAAGUAAUUAACUCCAACUGAUUGAUAUGGAAACAUAUUUUACAACAUCUUCUUUCCUCCCUGAUUCUCUUGUUAACUUUAAGUAUCCGAUUAAGCUUCAAGAAACUACCGCGGACAUUGGAUUUAGUAUAGAAAUAAUUAGGAUAUAGAUUAAGUGUGAAAAUAAUUAAGAUAUAAAUUAAGUGUGGAAAUAAAUAAGAUUUAAAUUAAGUUUGAAAAUAAUUAAGGUAUUUAUAAUAAGGUAUAAGAAUAUUCUUGGGCAACGUUUCAUCUUCUGAAGUGGAAUCCUGAUCGAAGAAAAAUAUUAUUUCACUACCUAUAUUAUUUUUUGUUAGCAUUAAGAAAAAAAAAAAAAGAAUUAGUCAUAAGAAACCUUACCCCAAACACACACAUUUUUAAGCCCUUAAUUAAUAUGAAUUAAAUUCAUUCUUUUGCUUAUACCAUUUUCCAAUACGAUUUCAAAUGAAAUUAUCGAAACAUUGUUGUAUUUCAAUUCAUGAGAAUCACGUUAUUCAAAUCAUUUCACGAUUCUGGAAGUUUAAUGAAUUUCGGCCGAUAAAACCACACACAUUUAAAAAUUUAUAAACUACGGCUUUGGCCGGGGCAAUGGAAGCCUAUAUUAUGCACACAAAACACAUAUAUUUAUAAGUAAUAUAAAAAAUAACAAUAAAUAAUUAGGAAUUAAGUUAUUAUUAGUUUCAAUUCUUAAGUCUGCGCUUAUUACCUAUAAAGUAAGUAAAUUUAGAUUAACGAGAUCUAGGAUGUCUAAUCAUGCAUAAAUUUUUCUUCCCUCACACAAAUCUAUCAGCCCUUUACUUUCUUUGCUCACUGUCAGUAUACAAAUAGAUAUGAGAUUGAUUAAAUUCAUUGUUCAAAGAUUCUAAUGACAUUCUAUCAAAGUACUACAAAAUUUGAAUGAACUAAAAUCAAGUUACUAAAAUCAUUCAAAGAUUCUCAAUGUUGAUUAUAAAUUUCGGUUCAGAAAAACACACACCUUUUCAAAAUUUACUAAAUUCUUUGGCUUUGGCCAGGGCAUGGGCAGCCCGCACUAUUUCUUUCCACACAACAGGUAUGGUGAGUUUUUGAACGAAAGACCACGGCAAUGAAUGUGAUAUGUGAGUGAGAUUGGUUUGAAUGAGAUGUAUAAACACAUGGGAAUUUUUUUCCCUUACACACACAGCCCUUAAGCUUUUCUCGUUAAAAAUAUACAAAUUUGAAUUAUUUCGGCCUAAAAAACACACACCUCUUCAAAAUUACGGCUUCGGCCGAGGCAUGGGCAGCCUGAACACAAUUACACUUUGAAAAGACUUUUUUCUUUAAUUUUUUUCAUAGAGUCAGUUGUCAAAAGUUUGACAAAGCGAAUGUGAAUGAAAUGGUUCGAAGCGCCGGCGCUGGUGUGAUUCGGGGAUUUCGUCAGUAAAAUCAUUUCUUGGAUAAAUAUAGAUGAAAGGCAGGUAUAGGUAAAUUCAUGCAUCGCGAAGGGGUUCUAUUUGGAAUGUAUGUGCAGUGUGAAUGCGAGUAUGCAACUCAUAGUUUUAACCGUUGGGCGGGGUGUGGGCUGACCAAAGUGGGUAGGCAAGAAAUCGGAAGUGCAACUUUUCUUUCCACAGCAAUUCCAAGUGAUCAAUUAACUAGAGAUUAUCAAAUUGCGUUAGCUACUUUUUUGCAAUAUUUUGCUUGAUAUUUUUAUAAUAAUUCUUUUCGUGUGGUCUUUUAGGUCUCUUUGCUGAGAUCUACUAGAUGCUUUUACUUCCAAUGGUUCACAAACCCAACCAAACAAAUUCAAUUAGAUUAAGUUUUUUUCUUCCCUGUAAUAUUUCUGGUCACUUGGAAUGGGCAAAAUGCGUCCACUUUGCUCUCCGUACCAGCCGUGGUGCAUG